GGUGGCGGCUCGCUGGUCGCUCCAUUUAGAUACAUCAAUAUUUUUAUUUAAAUAAUAAUAUAUAAUAAACGGACCGUACUGGCUGAGGAUCGGACCCAGUACCAUCCCAUCUCUAGCACCGUAGAUCGACACACUAACUGCUUGAGCUACAGCCGGCCACCAAUUCACAACCAAUACACCAAAAUAUAAUCAUGAAAUGAUGAAUAAAACUAGACGAUGACAUUUUAAAUGCAAGUAAGUUUUUCUGAGUAUAACAAAUGUCAUAGUCACCCUGUACAUACUAUCUAUCUUACAGGUUAAUUUCUAACCAAUUAUAAUGAAUUUGUUAAUUUUCUAAAAAUAAUUAUGACAUUUCAAUUUUAAUGGCUAAAAUUUAUAAUUUGAGUAAUUUUUAAUAUGAAAUAUUUUAUUUCAGCAAAAUUAGAGAUAAUAAUUAAGUUUUGACUUAGCAACAGCAAUAUAAAACACUAAUUCACCACAAUCCGCUAAAACAUCAUCGUGAAACAUCAUCAGCAGAUUAUUAAAACUAUAAAAACCUUUUGAAUGCGGAAUGGAUUUAUACUACUUUCGUCUCUUACCCAAGUUAGAUUCGAAUAAGUAUUUUCUUGUUGAGAUCGAUAUAUAUCGAUCUUACGAUGUUAACAUCUAAACAUUAUAUUUGUGCUCCUAUGAAAUAUCAAGCCUAGAUACGGAGGGGAAAUCAUAAUACAUCGUCUGGCAAUGAUAGAUUCAAGAAAUUUCCAGAUGAGUUGCAGUACCGCUGUAUUUUACACUCGAAAUAACAUCUGAGAUCGUUCACUUUACAUCCACUGACUCUCCAAUGAAUCUACAUGCCUCAUACUAGAUCCUCUACCAAAAAAUGCUUUUAAACUUUUCCACGCCGUUAAAUGCAGCUGAAUACUUGUCAUGGAAACUCCCCGCAAGCAUCAACGAAGGGUAUUUGUGUCUCCGAGAGUUCACUAUAAAAUUAUGUUCAUGGCUAACAGUUCCGUGCCCGGAAAAUACUUCAUUACAAUAUGUGGACUGGUCGGUUUCAAAGUCUUUAUUGAUCUGUUUUAUACAACCUCUUUCUUGGUUCUAAAAUACCCAACAAUGCCUCUAUGCCUUAGGACGACGUACAUGGGAUACGUGUUUCGUCAACUUCCACUAUUUCUUGUGAUCCACCAUUUUGUUGAAAAUUCUGCCAUGCCACUUUUCUUGCAACUGCCAGUCGUGUCUGUCGCUGUUAACUGUAAACCAGUAAACUAUUAUAUCUAUAAUAAUUCUCUUCGCUCCUAUCUUCCUUAGACGAACAUUAUGAGUUGAGUGAGCUUUCAUUUUCAAAUUAUAUCCCGUAUUUAUUCAGUCAAUUUCCACAUUUCUGUUUGGAAUAACAGAAUAUUGCUCUAGAAGUUUUAUGCCCCGAUUGUUGUCCUCUCUUUUCCCUUGAAUGUUUUGCCCCCAGAUGGUAAGGCAAUUUUUGCCAGAGAUAGGUGUAGCGCAACUCAAAUUACCAGAUAGUUCUAAGCUUCUCCCUAUCCAAGACCGUUGUGCGUGGUGAAAAGCCACACCCGACUAGAGGUUCCAUUGUUACUGCAGAACACAACGGCUCUAGACCAGAAAAGGUCGAAAAACAAUCCCUUCUCGGCAAGAUUGUCUUCUUGCCGAAAUGAACCAGUAUUGAAAAAGGACUAUUUUAGGCAACGGCGUAGUGUGGGUUAGAGGCGCACGGGGCGGAGAUAAAGUUUGCCGCUCGUACAGAGUCACGUUCGUCACCUUACGCCCUCGCCUUGCUACGCCACUUAUUAUAGGCGUCUAAGGGUGAACUAGCAUUCCAAAAUAUCUCACUUUAAGUUUUUGUUUCAUAUUUUAACUUUUUUGUCCAUAUGUACAGUAGGUUAUAUCUUUAUUUUUUACAGGGUGACUCAAACUCUUUUAAUUUAAAAAUUUUGAUUUACAGAAAACUGUAUAUUUUUUUCAUUAUAGGAUUUUCAAAGAAAUUAGCAUUUUAAAAACACGUCAUUUCAUAAUCUAUACAGGGUUAUUUUUUAAACAUAUCCAGUUUACAGUCAAAUUUUCUGCAGUUAAGCUCUUCGAAUCAUACAUAUAAAUACGGUAUAUUAUGUAAAGAACCUAUUGUUUUUUUUCAAAAUCAUAAUAUAUCGCCAUAUUUUAAAGAUAGUUAGCGCUAGAUAUUUGUAAUUUGGUGUGUGAUGGCAGUUAUCAAAAUAGAGUUUUGACUUGAAAUUCUUAUUUAGGUCUGUCAUAUAUAAUGUAUUUAUAUGUAGUAUAUAUUUGUUCAAUGUUCGCUAUUUGAUUGCUGCCAACCAAACAUCCAAUUUCUAGUGCAAGUCGUUUUUAAAAUAAUUUGAU